rnacentral:rRNA from 1 species
CGGGUGGUAAUGCCGGAUGCUCCAGUUGAUCGCAUGGUCUUCUGGGAAAGCUUUCGCGGUAUGGGAUGGGGUCGCGUCCUAUCAGCUUGACGGCGGGGUAACGGCCCACCGUGGCUUCGACGGGUAGCCGGCCUGAGAGGGCGACCGGCCACAUUGGGACUGAGAUACGGCCCAGACUCCUACGGGAGGCAGCAGUGGGGAAUAUUGCACAAUGGGCGCAAGCCUGAUGCAGCGACGCCGCGUGAGGGAUGGAGGCCUUCGGGUUGUAAACCUCUUUUAUCGGGGAGCAAGCGAGAGUGAGUUUACCCGUUGAAUAAGCACCGGCUAACUACGUGCCAGCAGCCGCGGUAAUACGUAGGGUGCAAGCGUUAUCCGGAAUUAUUGGGCGUAAAGGGCUCGUAGGCGGUUCGUCGCGUCCGGUGUGAAAGUCCAUCGCUUAACGGUGGAUCCGCGCCGGGUACGGGCGGGCUUGAGUGCGGUAGGGGAGACUGGAAUUCCCGGUGUAACGGUGGAAUGUGUAGAUAUCGGAAAAAAAACA